GCACUGGUGGGGAGUCCCAUAAUAGGACGAAACGGCCGUCCAGUGU
rnacentral:hammerhead_ribozyme from 1 species